rnacentral:rRNA from 1 species
GACGAACGCUGGCGGCGGGCUUAACACAUGCAAGUCGAAGGAGAAGGUAGAAGCUUGCUUUUACUGGAGACUGGCGGACGGGUGAGUAACGCGUAGAUAACCUGCCUAUAGCUGGGGGAUAACACUGCGAAAGUGGUGCUAAUACCGCAUAAUGCAGCGGGGCCGCAUGGCCAUAGUUGUUAAAGGUUUCGGCCGGCUAUAGAUGGGUCUGCGUGCUAUUAGUUAGUUGGUAGGGUAACGGCCUACCAAGGCGAUGAUAGCUAGGGGGUCUGAGAGGAUGAUCCCCCACACUGGGACUGAGACACGGCCCAGACUCCUACGGGAGGCAGCAGUGAGGAAUCUUGCGCAAUGGGCGAAAGCCUGACGCAGCCACGCCGCGUGCCGGAUGAAGGCCCUAUGGGUUGUAAACGGCUUUUACUAGGGAAGAACGAGGAGGUUUUGAUCUUCUGUGACGGUACCUAGUGAAUAAGCACCGGCUAACUCCGUG